UAUGGCCCGCGUACGCAAAAAGAUCUGUCUGCUGUCAACUAUUUUACUUUGGCAAUUACAGCUGGUGUUGCCAUCGUUAAUCGUAGAUGAAAGUCCCAAUGCAGUGAGUGAUGAAGCGUACAUUGACGAGGGUGACGUGGCAAAAGCAUAUACUGAUGAAAGUGGUAUAAAUGCAACGGAAGUUGAAACAGUAUUGAGUGGGUCCAGGCAUGUGGACAACUCCACUGAUAACGUGAACCCUGUAUCAUAUAUUGUGGAGGUGAAAAACUAUACCAGCUCCGUUGUCCCUUCGAAUGAGUCCAGUGUUUCCAACAGUUCAUUAAUUUUGAACGGUGUUGCAACCCCAACAAUGCUAACACUUCGGUCUGAAACCUACGAUUCCGAUGUUUCUCCUCGUUUUAAUUUGUCAAUCGUGAAUUUGAUGGAAUCCAUCGGAACGGUGCAGUCAGUUGAACAGAAUUCGUCUAGUACCAAUUUUUCAACACAAUUUGUGCCGUAUGUUAUAAAUCGAAGUUUGCCAAAUUUGACAGCAGUUCCGUACAGUUCCGUUGUAUUUCCAACUGGCAAUUCCUCUGGAUUUUUUCAAAAUGUACCUAUUUUAAAAGCAGCACCUGUUGAUUCUAUAACAACGCAUAAUUCUUCAUAUUCAAAGAUGGUCCCAUACAGUAUAAAAUUUGAAGACCUUCGAGCCAGCCCUUGGAGUAUUAUGCCCAAAUUAAGUUCCGUCAAAGAUAUUAUAUCAACAACGGAACACACCUUAUCUAUCAAACCAGCUAGUCCACGAUUCAGGAAAACCGUAUUUGGCCUACAAACAUCCUCAAUCACUGUGAAACCCAUCCGAGGGACAACAAGGCGAAACAUACGUUUUCGAUCUGUAGGCAGUUCUACGAAACCUCGGGCUAGGCCAACUAAAGGAAAGUUUCGAUCGAUGAAAAAAUCCACCAACAGAAUUACCAGGAAGCCAGGUGUGGCAGCGACAAGAUUUUUGCCAA